GGUUUUCACUGACUCCUUUACAUCAAUGUGGAAAUGUUUCACAUUGUCAUAUUAGCUUCCACAAAUGAAGUGGAAGUUGUUCCAGCAAAUUGGUUUAAAAAAAACACCUGUCUGUGGCCACCAUACAAAUGGGAUGAUGUUGUAAAAGCAGUAAGAUCACAGGAACAACCUGGAACACGUUGGAUUCCGUACAAACUACUUAUGAGGAAGCGAGGGUCAAACUGCCAGAGCCUGAAAGAUUCACGGAUUUGACUGAUUCAGAAACCAGCCACAGAGACACAAACGGAGAACAAUGAAGAGGUGUCACAUUCAAGAUGAUGCGGAUAGUGAAGAUGAGACGUCGGGAGCAUCUACUUUACCUAGACCUCCAGAAAUGGCCACUGCAAAGAAGCUGUCAC